AACAAACGCUGGCGGCAGGCCUAACACAUGCAAGUCGAACGCCGUAGCAAUACGGAGUGGCAGACGGGUGAGUAACACGUGGGAACAUACCCUUCGGUUCGGAAUAACUCAGGGAAACUUGAGCUAAUACCGGAUACGUCCGCGAGGAGAAAGAUUCAUCGCCGGAGGAUUGGCCCGCGUCUGAUUAGCUUGUUGGUGAGGUAAUGGCUCACCAAGGCGACGAUCAGUAGCUGGUCUGAGAGGAUGAUCAGCCACAUUGGGACUGAGACACGGCCCAAACUCCUACGGGAGGCAGCAGGUGGGGAAUAUUGGACAAUGGGCGCAAGCCUGAUCCAGCCAUGCCGCGUGAGUGAUGAAGG
rnacentral:rRNA from 1 species